CAGCUGUCUGGCAGUGCUGUCCAAGUCAGUGAUGGCUCCUGCCAGGUGGUUACAGUCAUAUGAUGGAAAAAUGGGGGAUUUUAAUUGAUAAUGGGAGCUACAAUGAAAGCUGCUUGAUCACCACUACCUCCUGCCCAAGCAUGACAGGGAAGAGGGUACGAAGAAAAAAAAGGAAAAGAACUCAUGGGCCAAGGUCAUGAAAAGGACAGGCAAAAGAAAGUGAACAUGGAAAAUUUAAUCCCUCCAUAUGACUGUAUAUUUCUUGAUUGCUGUUUUAUUUUCAUUUAUAUAUCUUGAGAUUUUUUUCAUUAUAUUAAAAAGAUUGAGGUAAUCUGCACAUAAGUUACAUGUAUUACAGAAGCUGUAGCAGCAAAAUAUUAAGACAAAGUUAUUUCCUAAGUACCUGAAAAUACAGAAAAGCUAAUUGUUCAAACUGUUACACAUGAUUUCUCAAAAGUGUUUUAAAUAUGUAUGAUCCUUUGGGAAACAAGAGUGAUGGUAAUAAGAUAACUGAACAAUAUGGCAACAUAUGGCAAAGGAACAUACUAUUCCUUUUUAGGAAUAGUAUGUCUAAUAAGUAGAUCCAAAGUCAAACACUGUAUAGUCUGAUUUUGCAUGGAAAUAACAACUGUGACAUAUGCUAGAAGAGUCUGAUUUUUAUACCACAAUCUUAUUUAUACAGGUUGUCAUACCAGUAAGCUUCACUGAACUGAAACUGAAUUACUAUGUUAUUAGAAAUGUUAUCACACUUCUCAGUGCCACUUGCAGUAAGGAAAUUUUGGCUCAUAAGGAUUGUCUGCAAUUUUUCAUGGAAAUAUAAUUUUAAAAAUAAGUAAAAAUAUCAUAUAUAUCAAAUUAAACUACAGUGCAAUAAAAUUCAAUAUAAUACGUCUUCCCUCUACUCCCCUUCAUUUUGCAACGAGUCAGUAAUAGUAUCUUCAUCAGGACUUAUUUCAGGUGUUCCAUUGUCAUCAUGCUCUUUUAGGUCAAACUACAUAUAUUACUGGAAUAUCACUUGUGGAAACUCAGAAAACAUGUGGAAUGUAUGAAGAUAUAUGGGACAACAGCAUGGGACAACAGCAUUCUUCCAUUCCUCAAGGAGAUAUAGU